UGAAACUGCGAAUGGCUCAUUAAAUCAGUUAUCGUUUAUUUGAUAGUUCCUUUACUACAUGGUAUAACUGUGGUAAUUCUAGAGCUAAUACAUGCUUAAAAUCUCGACCUUUUGGAAGAGAUGUAUUUAUUAGAUAAAAAAUCAACGUCUUCGGACUCCUUGAUGAUUCAUAAUAACUUUUCGAAUCGCAUGGCCUUGUGCUGGCGAUGGUUCAUUCAAAUUUCUGCCCUAUCAACUUUCGAUGGUAGGAUAGUGGCCUACCAUGGUUUCAACGGGUAACGGGGAAUAAGGGUUCGAUUCCGGAGAGGGAGCCUGAGAAACGGCUACCACAUCCAAGGAAGGCAGCAGGCGCGCAAAUUACCCAAUCCUGAUACAGGGAGGUAGUGACAAUAAAUAACGAUACAGGGCCCUUACGGGUCUUGUAAUUGGAAUGAGUACAAUGUAAAUACCUUAACGAGGAACAAUUGGAGGGCAAGUCUGGUGCCAGCAGCCGCGGUAAUUCCAGCUCCAAUAGCGUAUAUUAAAGUUGUUGCAGUUAAAAAGCUCGUAGUUGAACUUUGGGCCUGGUCGGCCGGUCCGGAUCUUUCCGUGUACUGGUUUUAAUUCGACCGGGCCUUUCCUUCUGGCUAGCCCUGGGUCCUUGUGGCCCUUGGUGAACCAGGACUUUUACUUUGAAAAAAUUAGAGUGUUCAAAGCAGGCGUUUCGCUCGAAUAUAUUAGCAUGGAAUAAUAAAAUAGGACGUUUGGUUCUAUUUUGUUGGUUUCUAGGACCAUCGUAAUGAUUAAUAGGGACGGUCGGGGGCAUCAGUAUUCAGUUGUCAGAGGUGAAAUUCUUGGAUUUACUGAAGACUAACUACUGCGAAAGCAUUUGCCAAGGACGUUUUCAUUAAUCAAGAACGAAAGUUAGGGGAUCGAAGAUGAUCAGAUACCGUCGUAGUCUUAACCAUAAACUAUGCCGACUAGGGAUCGGGUGGUGUUUUUUUACUGACCCACUCGGCACCUUACGAGAAAUCAAAGUCCUUUGGGU
rnacentral:rRNA from 1 species